rnacentral:rRNA from 1 species
ACAUGGAUAACCUGCCCUUGGGUCCGGCAUAACCCCGGGAAACUGGGGAUAAUUCCGGAUAACGCACAUAUGCUGGAAUGCUUUCUGCGUAAAAUGGAUUCGUCUGCCCAAGGAUGGGUCUGCAGCCUAUCAGGUAGUAGUGGGUGUAAUGUACCUACUAUAGCCUACGACGGGUACGGGUUGUGAGAGCAAGAGCCCGGAGAUGGAUUCUGAGACAUGAAUCCAGGCCCUACGGGGCGCAGCAGGCGCGAAAACUUUACAAUGCGGGAAACCGUGAUAAGGGGACACCGAGUGCCAGCAUCCUAUGCUGGCUGUCCGGGUGUGUAAAAUACACCUGUUAGCAAGGGCCGGGCAAGACCGGUGCCAGCCGCCGCGGUAACACCGGCGGCCCGAGUGGUGAUCGUGAUUAUUGGGUCUAAAGGGUCCGUAGCCGGUUUGGUCAGUCCUCCGGGAAAUCUGACAGCUCAACUGUUAGGCUUUCGGAGGAUACUGCCAGACUUGGAACCGGGAGAGGUAAGAGGUACUACAGGGGUAGGAGUGAAAUCUUGUAAUCCCUGUGGGACCACCUGUGGCGAAGGCGUCUUACCAGAACGGGUUCGACGGUGAGGGACGAAAGCUGGGGGCACGAACCGGAUUAGAUACCCGGGUAGUCCCAGCCGUAAACGAUGCUCGCUAGGUGUCAGGCAUGGCGCGACCGUGUCUGGUGCCGCAGGGAAGCCGUGAAGCGAGCCACCUGGGAAGUACGGCCGCAAGGCUGAAACUUAAAGGAAUUGGCGGGGGAGCACAACAACGGGUGGAGC